CGGUGUUCAACUGGCGUGUCCGCGGGACGUCCUGCCGGUGGGCUUAGCCCGCAAGGGCGGCCCAACUUCAAAUCCCAUCGCGGUGCUCUUCACUGAGUGUCGAGGUGGGCCGGCACGUUUACUUUGAACAAAUUAGAGUGCUUAAAGCAGGCUAAAACUUCGCCUGAAUACUGUGUGCAUGGAAUAAUGGAAUAGGACCUCGGUUCUAUUUUGUUGGUUUUCGGAACCCCGAGGUAAUGAUUAAUAGGAACGGAUGGGGGCAUUCGUAUUGCGACGUUAGAGGUGAAAUUCUUGGAUCGUCGCAAGACGGACAGAAGCGAAAGCAUUUGCCAAAAACGCUUUCAUUGAUCAAGAACGAAAGUUAGAGGUUCGAAGGCGAUCAGAUACCGCCCUAGUUCUAACCAUAAACGAUGCCAGCUAGCGAUCCGUCGACGUUCCUCCGAUGACUCGACGGGCAGCUUCCGGGAAACCAAAGCUUUUGGGUUCCGGGGGAAGUAUGGUUGCAAAGCUGAAACUUAAAGGAAUUGACGGAAGGGCACCACCAGGAGUGGAGCCUGCGGCUUAAUUUGACUCAACACGGGAAACCUCACCAGGCCCGGACACCGGAAGGAUUGACAGAUUGAGAGCUCUUUCUUGAUUCGGUGGGUGGUGGUGCAUGGCCGUUCUUAGUUGGUGGAGCGAUUUGUCUGGUUAAUUCCGAUAACGAACGAGACUCUAGCCUGCUAACUAGGCGUAUUUUCGACAUCUCAAAGGUCCGUCGUCCCGGCCCUCGGGUCGUGGGCGUGCGCGAUUUUUACUGUCGGCGUACUAUCAAUUCUUCUUAGAGGGACAGGUGGCCUUCUAGCCGCACGAGAUUGAGCAAUAACAGGUCUGUGAUG
rnacentral:rRNA from 1 species